CCACGGUAUGAUUGCUGCACCCUCAUGGAGCUCUCACAGCGCUUUGGAUUUUCGGCCGUCCGAUCGAGCUGACGUGGCGCGAUCUCGGCCGUCGUUCCGUCCAGGGCGCUGAGGCCCUCCCGCAGACCCACUUUUUAUCCAUGGGUCGCGAAAAGCCCCGCUCGGCCCGAUCUCUCGCUAGCCCUCCACCAAUCGCCACGCCCCCAAUCGCUCCCCAAUCCCCACUCCUCUGCCCGUCUCCUCCCCUUCCUCUCCCCUCGCGCCCGCAUCCCCGCCGCCGCACGCCUCUCUCCCUCUCCUCCUCUCCCCUCGCCCGUCCUCCUCCUCUCUCCCAUCGCCACCAUAUCUCGUCCCUACAACUCUCCAUUGCGCCCGGGGCCGGCGAGGAUCUUCUCCUGCACCAAGAAGCAGAAGGGGCGAGUUCGUGGGAGGAACGCCGCCGUCUUCAGCGCAAGCCGUCAAAGAGAGGAGGAGGAGGUGCUGUGGCAGCGCCUGGACUCGCUGGAGGCCGCCAGAGAUCGAGGCGCCGCAAAGGAGAUCGAGGUCGUCGGCGACGCAGGUCAAGUGCGAGGAGUGACCCGGUGUGGAAACCCUAGCUGCCAUGGUCUCGUGCCCCCUCGAGCUCGUGCUGAUUCACGUCCUACGGCCCCUCGUCGAGCUUGUUGUCGUCUUGCGAGCCCAGGUUGCUGCUGAAUUGGUUCAGAAUCAAUUACAUACGUAUGCUUCCACAUGAUUGAUGAUGUGCCGACAGGAGCGGUGUUAAAUUUUUUUAACGGCUCAGAAAGUUGAUGGUGGAAGGGCUGCUUGAAUCAGAUGCUAGAUAGUUGCAGUCCUCUAAGGAAAACGGUUCCUACUGUAAAAUGAAAUUCUUGAGCGAUAGCUUGUAGUCGUGUUUGCUGUUAUUCCUUUACUGUGUGCGGGAGGUGCUGCAAUAUAUCAAGGUGCAGCUGUUCCAUGAUCCCCAGUUCGACGGCCAGCUUGAAUAGCCGGCCCAGCACUAUGCACUGUGUGUACAAGCAAGGUAUGGAUUGAAGCAAAAGUCCUUAAACAAGCAACAAGUGAUGACAUGAUCUCAAUUUGCACUACAGGCUGGUCACCUUCUCCAAAUUCUUCAAAUGUUGUGCACUUAAGUGAAAAUGAGGUGGGAAUAUCUCGACAAGCCAUUCUGAUGUGUAUUCCAUUGGUACUUUGUUCUAUGCAUCUCCACCAAAUAACUCUAUUUAGUUGUGUCCAGCUAUUGUAGGUGAUAUCUAAUAUUGCUC